rnacentral:rRNA from 2 species
UAGCUAACGCAUUAAGUGCCCCGCCUGGGGAGUACGGCCGCAAGGUAAAACUCAAAGGAAUUGACGGGGGCCCGCACAAGCGGCGGAGCAUGCGGAUUAAUUCGAUGCAACGCGAAGAACCUUACCAAGGCUUGACAUUCACCGGACCGCCCCAGAGAUGGGGUUUCCCUUCGGGGCUGGUGGACAGGUGGUGCAUGGUUGUCGUCAGCUCGUGUCGUGAGAUGUUGGGUUAAGUCCCGCAACGAGCGCAACCCUCGUUCUAUGUUGCCAGCACGUGAUGGUGGGGACUCAUAGGAGACUGCCGGGGUCAACUCGGAGGAAGGUGGGGAUGACGUCAAAUCAUCAUGCCCCUUAUGUCUUGGGCUUCACGCAUGCUACAAUGGCCGGUACAAAGGGUUGCGAUACUGUGAGGUGGAGCUAAUCCCAAAAAGCCGGUCUCAGUUCGGAUUGAGGUCUGCAACUCGACCUCAUGAAGUCGGAGUCGCUAGUAAUCGCAGAUCAGCAACGCUGCGGUGAAUACGUUCCCGGGCCUUGUACACACCGCCCGUCAAGUCACGAAAGUUGGUAACACCCGAAGCCGGUGGCCUAACCCCUUGUGGGAGGGAGCCGUCGAAGGUGGGACUGGCGAUUGGGA